UACGUAGGGUGCGAGCGUUGUCCGGAAUUAUUGGGCGUAAAGAGCUCGUAGGCGGUGUGUCGCGUCGGCCGUGAAAACCUGCAGCUUAACUGUGGGCUUGCGGUCGAUACGGGCAGACUUGAGUUCGGUAGGGGAGACUGGAAUUCCUGGUGUAGCGGUGAAAUGCGCAGAUAUCAGGAGGAACACCGGUGGCGAAGGCGGGUCUCUGGGCCGAUACUGACGCUGAGAAGCGAAAGCAUGGGGAGCGAACAGG
rnacentral:rRNA from 1 species